UACGUAGGGGGCAAGCGUUGUCCGGAAUCAUUGGGCGUAAAGAGCGUGUAGGCGGUCCGGUCAGUCGGUUGUGAAAGUCAAGGGCUCAACCCGGGAACUGCGUCCGAUACUGACAGGCUUGAAUCCGGGAGAGGGAUGUGGAAUUCCAGGUGUAGCGGUGAAAUGCGUAGAGAUCGUAAGGAAGACCAGUGGCGAAGGCGGGUCUCUGGACAGUUCCUGACACUGAGGCACGAAGGCCAGGGGAGCAAACGGG
rnacentral:rRNA from 1 species